GGGAGUGUAGUUCAGUGGUACACUUGCCUAAAAUACAGGAGUUCCUGGGUUCUAUUCUCAGCACUUUUU
rnacentral:tRNA from 1 species